rnacentral:rRNA from 1 species
UACGAGGGGGCUUGCCUCCGAAGUGAGUGAUACCCAGCUUCCAGGAAAAGCCACUAAGCUUCAGCUGCACACGACCGUACCGCAAACCGACACUGGUGCGCGAGAUGAGUAUUCUCAGGCGCUUGAGAGAACUCGGGAGAAGGAACUCGGCAAAUUGACACCGUAACUUCGGGAGAAGGUGUGCCUUUAGUAGGUGAACCCGUACAGGGGGAGCCCAAUGAGGUUGCAAAGAAUCGGUGGCUGCGACUGUUUAAUAAAAACACAGCACUCUGCAAACACGAAAGUGGACGUAUAGGGUGUGACGCCUGCCCGGUGCUGGAAGAUUAAGUGAUGGGGUGCAAGCUCUUGAUCGAAGUCCCAGUAAACGGCGGCCGUAACAAUAACGGUCCUAAGGUAGCGAAAUUCCUUGUCGGGUAAGUUCCGACCUGCACGAAUGGCGUAACGAUGGCCACACUGUCUCCUCCCGAGACUCAGCGAAGUUGAAAUGUUUGUGAUGAUGCAAUCUCCCCGCGGAAAGACGGAAAGACCCCAUGAACCUUUACUGUAGCUUUGUAUUGGACUUUGAACGGAUCUGUGUAGGAUAGGUGGGAGGCUUUGAAGCAGGGUCGCUAGAUCUUGUGGAGCCAACGUUGAAAUACCACCCUGGUGCGUUUGAGGUUCUAACCUAGGCCCGUUAUCCGGGUCGGGGACAGUGCAUGGUAGGCAGUUUGACUGGGGCGGUCUCCUCCCAAAGCGUAACGGAGGAGUUCGAAGGUACGCUAGUUACGGUCGGACAUCGUGACGAUAGUGCAAUGGCAUAAGCGUGCUUAACUGCGAGACUGACAAGUCGAGCAGAUGCGAAAGCAGGACAUAGUGAUCCGGUGGUUCUGUAUGGAAGGGCCAUCGCUCAACGGAUAAAAGGUACUCUGGGGAUAACAGGCUGAUACCGCCCAAGAGUUCAUAUCGACGGCGGUGUUUGGCACCUCGAUGUCGGCUCAUCUCAUCCUGGGGCUGUAGCCGGUCCCAAGGGUAUGGCUGUUCGCCAUUUAAAGAGGUACGUGAGCUGGGUUUAAAACGUCGUGAGACAGUUUGGUCCCUAUCUUCCGUGGGCGCUGCAGAUUUGAGGAAGCCUGCUCCUAGUACGAGAGGACCGGAGUGGACGCACCUCUGGUGUACCUGUUGUCACGCCAGUGGCAUUGCAGGGUAGCUAAGUGCGGAAGAGAUAACCGCUGAAAGCAUCUAAGCGGGAAACUCGUUUCAAGAUGAGAUCUGCCGGGGCCUUGAGCCCCCUGAAGAGUCGUUCUAGACCAGGACGUUGAUAGGCUGGGUGUGGAAGCGCAGUAAUGCGUUAAGCUAACCAGUACUAAUUGCUCGUGCGGCUUGACCCC